rnacentral:rRNA from 1 species
AUUGAACGCUGGCGGCAGGCUUAACACAUGCAAGUCGAGCGAGCGGCGGACGGGUGAGUAAUGUCUGGGAAACUGCCUGAUGGAGGGGGAUAACUACUGGAAACGGUAGCUAAUACCGCAUACCAUCAGAUGUGCCCAGAGGGGAUUAGCUAGUAGGUGGGGUAAUGGCUCACCUAGCCGACGAUCCCUAGCUGGUCUGAGCGGAUGACCAGCCAAAUUGUAACGGAGACACGGUCCAGACUCCUACGUGAGGCAGCAGUGUGGAAUAUUGCACAAUGGGCGCAAGCCUGAUGGAGCCAUGCCGCGUGUGUGAAGAAGGCCUUCGGGUUGUAAAGCACUUUCAGCGAGGAGGCGUUACUCGCAGAAGAAGCACCGGCUAACUCCGUGCCAGCAGCCGCGGUAAUUC